UACGUAGGGGGCAAGCGUUAUCCGGAUUUACUGGGUGUAAAGGGAGCGUAGACGGCUGUGCAAGUCUGAAGUGAAAGCCCGUGGCUCAACCGCGGAACUGCUUUGGAAACUGUAUAGCUUGAGUACUGGAGAGGCAGGCGGAAUUCCUAGUGUAGCGGUGGAAUGCGUAGAUAUUAGGAGGAACACCAGUGGCGAAGGCGGCCUGCUGGACAGAAACUGACGUUGAGGCUCGAAAGCGUGGGGAGCAAACAGG
rnacentral:rRNA from 1 species